rnacentral:misc_RNA from 1 species
CUGACUUCACAGGUACUGGCUGUC